GUCCCUGAGACGGAGAGCAGAGCGGGCUGGCGCUCUGCAGCCCUUGACUCUGCUCUCCCUGGAUGACCGUCAGCUCCUGGAGAAGAUCUGCCUUCCCUUGAGGUGGCUUCUCCUGUCCUGAGAAGCAUGUCACACGAUCUAACAUUUGUUUAAAAAAGAAUGAUGACAUCCUUAACACCUGAUGUGUCGUGUCCCCAGAAGAAUUCUCUGCUUCCCCAGAAGACUAGACAGCGAGCAGCUGGGACCGAGUUCUGAUCCAGGAAGCAAGGAUGCUGAGGGCACAGCUGUCUCCCCUCUGCCGGCUCCUACCCCUGAUCUGUGGCCCUGAUGGGGAAACAGCGCUGGGGACUCGUGCAGAAACCUUACACCUGUCUAUGAAAGCCACACGUGCACAGUGUCAACAGAGCUCCUGGUCAUAUUGGAAAAAUUCCUGAAGAAGGCUGCCUGGAGUUGAGCCGAUACUUCUUCCUAUGGCCAUAAAGAGGAAUCCUUAUUUUGUCCAUGGGGCCUCAGGAGAAGCCCUCGUGAGAGAGGAAUCCUUGCUAACCCUAUGUUGUACCUAGGACUGGCUUCUCCUAAGACAGUGGUUCUCGAACUCCAGUGUGCAUUAGAACCGUGUGGAGGUCCCCUGCAACACAGAGU